UUACAGCCAUAUCACGUCGAAACACCAGUUCCCGUACGAUCACCGAAGGUAAGCAACGUCGUGUCUGGUCAGUAACUAGAUGGGUGACCUCUUGGGAAUAUCAGGUG